rnacentral:rRNA from 1 species
UUCCUACGGGAGGCAGCAGUGGGGGAUAUUGCACAAUGGAGGAAACUCUGAUGCAGCGACGCCGCGUGAGGGAAGACGGUCUUCGGAUUGUAAACCUCUGUCUUUGGGGAAGAAAAUGACGGUACCCAAAGAGGAAGCUCCGGCUAACUACGUGCCAGCAGCCGCGGUAAUACGUAGGGAGCGAGCGUUGUCCGGAAUUACUGGGUGUAAAGGGAGCGUAGGCGUGCGAGAAAGGUGAAUGUUAACUUUACAGG